AAUUUCUCUUUCUCUCUCCCAUUUUACUCUUUCUCUCUCACUUUUCCUCUUUCCCAUCUCCAGCUCCAGAAAGCUAGCUCCAGAAUGAUAUCUCUUCUUUCUCGCUCUUCUUUCCUAAGCGUAACUCCAUAGCUCUUCAUAACUCGAAUAACUGAAGACCGGAUGAACUGAAGAAUUGAGCUCCAUAACUCGAGUUUCAUCAGGUUGAAUUUCUAAAAGAGAUGAAGAGCUGAAGAUACAGAGGUGGGGAUGGAAGAAAUCAAGAGUGGAAGCUGAAGAACUCAGGUGCUGAGAUUCCUUUUUCUUCUCUAGUAAUCUGUAAAACCAAUUUGUGAAGGAAAAUGUGGGUGAUCAAAUUUAAAGUGGAUGAUGAAGAGUUUUUGAACAAUUGUAAAAGUUUGAAUACAGUAUAUUUGAUUUUGUGAAAUAUAUUCAUUGCUAGAAUAUAUUGAACUAUUGUUGUACUUUUUGAACUAUUGUGUACACAUUUAGAAUAUUGAUAUAUAAGUGUGAGGUGGUACAGUUACCAUUAAUGAAGCUGAAAUGCAAGUUAAAAAAGGCAGAAUCUUUGAACAAACGCCUAGAGACAUUGUGUUGUUAUGUAAUUGAACUAUUGAGACAGUGUAGAAAGUUCAUAAAUACCAUCAAUUGAUGACUUCUAACAUCAUGUUUGAAUCAUUCAAAGUAGGUCUAGUUUUUGCAUGAAUGAUCUGGAAUUUAUGUUGAGAAACCUAUGAAUUUCUAUUUCUCUAUGCAAAAGACUAAAUUCAUUGCGGUCCUUGAAUCUACAGUCUGUACAACUCAUAACAGUUUCCUUCUACUUGGCUAUUUUCCCACAAGAAAUCAUAUCUGACAUUGUAAAUAUGUUCUAGUAUGACAGGGAUCCUCCAAUAAUGUGAAAUCCGCGUUGAAGUAGAAAAAGAGGUUUUUCCAGGCUGUAGAGGUUCCUCUUUGGAUACGUGGAAUAAGUGCAUUAACAUGCAUAUAUGAAGAUCUCAAUUAAAAUUUGGUCAAUUUUUGCCUCGCUUUGAUGAGUAUGAAGUAACUCUAAACUUGUUACAUAUUCUUGAUAUGGUUUCGAAUAUUAUUGAAUGGUGGCGAAACACUUUAAAUACGACUGAGUUUUAUCUCUUUAGUUAUUAUUAGUGGCGUUGGUUUUAAUUGAGCUAAGGUUUUGCUUCUCUUGUACACUGUUCAUCUUGCUUGUUUGGUAUGGUUGAAGUCAUGUUUUGCUAUCUGAGAUUUAUUUUCCUUGUUUGAUCAUGUGUAACAUAUUAACUACACAAGGAAACUAAUCUAAUUUUCUUUAAUUUUUGCUGCUGUUGUAAUCUACAAUAUGGACUUUUCUCACUUCAGUUA